CCUAUGGGUGGCAGCAGUGAGGAAUAUUGGUCAAUGGACGAGAGUCUGAACCAGCCAAGUAGCGUGAAGGAUGAGUGCCCUAUGGGGUGUAAACUUCUUUUAUAUGGGAAUAAAAUGUUCCACGUGUGGGAGUUUGUAUGUACCAUAUGAAUAAGGAUCGGCUACCUCCGUGCCAGCAGCCGCGGUAAUACGGAGGAUCCGAGCUUUAUCCGGAUUUAUUGGGUUAAAGGGGAGCGAGGGUGGGUGGUUAAGUCAGUUGUGAAAGUUUGCGGGUCAACGGUAAAAUUGCAGUUGAUACUGGCAGUCUUGAGUACAGUAGCGGUGGGCGGAAUUCGUGGUGUAGCGGUGAAAUGCAUAGAUAUCACGAAGAACUCCGAUUGCGAAGGCAGUUCACUGGACUGCAACUGACACUGAGGCUCGAAAGUGUGGGUAUCAAACAGGAUUAGAUACCCGGGUAGUC
rnacentral:rRNA from 1 species